UACGGGGGGAGCAAGCGUUGUUCGGAAUUACUGGGCGUAAAGGGCGCGUAGGCGGUGCAUCAAGUCAGGCGUGAAAGCCCCGGGCUCAACCUGGGAACCGCGCUUGAGACUGGUGCGCUCGAGUUCGGGAGAGGAUGGUGGAAUUCCCAGUGUAGAGGUGAAAUUCGUAGAUAUUGGGAAGAACACCAGUGGCGAAGGCGGCUCACUGGCCCGUAACUGACGCUGAGGUGCGAAAGCGUGGGGAGCCAAACAGG
rnacentral:rRNA from 1 species